UCGAGAGGCUUCCACAAUGGGGGAAACCCUGAUGGAGCGACGCCGCGUGGGUGAUGAAGGUCUUCGGAUCGUAAAACCCUUUCAGUAAGGAAGAAGGACCCGGGUGCCAAUACCACCAGGGUCAAGACGGUACUUACAGAAGAAGCUCCGGCUAACUCCGUGCCAGCAGCCGCGGUAAGACGGGGGGAGCAAGCGUUGUUCGGAUUUACUGGGCGUAAAGGGCGUCUAGGCGGGCUUUCAAGUCGAGCGUGAAACCCCACGGCUCAACCGUGGAUCUGCGCUCGAUACUGUUGGCCUUGAGUACGGAAGAGGAAAGCGGAAUUCCUGGUGUAGCGGUGAAAUGCGUAGAUAUCAGGAAGAACACCGGUGGCGAAGGCGGCUUUCUGGUCCGAUACUGACGCUGAAGCGCGAAAGUGCGGGGAGCAAACA
rnacentral:rRNA from 1 species